UGGGGAAUUUUGGACAAUGGGCGAAAGCCUGAUCCAGCAAUGCCGCGUGUGUGAAGAAGGCCUUCGGGUUGUAAAGCACUUUUGUCCGGAAAGAAAUCCUUGGCUCUAAUACAGUCGGGGGAUGACGGUACCGGAAGAAUAAGCACCGGCUAACUACGUGCCAGCAGCCGCGGUAAUACGUAGGGUGCAAGCGUUAAUCGGAAUUACUGGGCGUAAAGCGUGCGCAGGCGGUUUGCUAAGACCGAUGUGAAAUCCCCGGGCUCAACCUGGGAACUGCAUUGGUGACUGGCAGGCUAGAGUAUGGCAGAGGGGGGUAGAAUUCCACGUGUAGCAGUGAAAUGCGUAGAGAUGUGGAGGAAUACCGAUGGCGAAGGCAGCCCCCUGGGCCAAUACUGACGCUCAUGCACGAAAAGCGUGGGGGAGCAAAACAGGAUUAGAUACCCCUGGUAGUCCACGCCCUAAAACGAUGUCAACUAGUUGUUGGGGAUUCAUUUCCUUAGUAACGUAGCUAACGCGUGAAGUUGACCGCCUGGGGAGUACGGUCGCAAGAUUAAAACUUAAAUGAAUUGACGGGG
rnacentral:rRNA from 1 species